CCUACGGGAGGCUGCAGUGGGGGAUAUUGCACAAUGGGGGGAACCCUGAUGCAGCGACGCCGCGUGGGUGAAGGAGCGCCUCGGCGCGUAAAGCCCUGUCAGCAGGGAAGAAACUGACGGUACCUGAAGUAGAAACCCCGGCUAACUACGUGCCAGCAGCCGCGGUAAUACGUAGGGGGCCGGCGUUAUCCGGAUUUACUGGGUGUAAAGGGGGCGCAGACGGCGAUGCAAGCCAGGAGUGAAAGCCCGGGGCCCAACCCCGGGACUGCCCUUGGAACUGCCUGGCUGGAGUGCAGGAGGGGCAGGCGGAAUUCCUGGUGUAGCGGUGAAAUGCGUAGAUAUCAGGAGGAACACCGGUGGCGAAGGCGGCCUGCUGGACUGCAACUGACGUUGAGGCUCGAAAGCGUGGGGAGCGAACAGGAUUAGAUACCCGAGUAGUC
rnacentral:rRNA from 1 species